rnacentral:rRNA from 1 species
GACGUAGGGCGCGAGCGUUGUCCGGAUUUAUUGGGCGUAAAGAGCUCGUAGGCGGUCUGUCGCGUCGGCUGUGAAAACCCGGGGCUCAACCCCGGGCCUGCAGUCGAUACGGGCAGACUAGAGUGCGGUAGGGGAGACUGGAAUUCCUGGUGUAGCGGUGAAAUGCGCAGAUAUCAGGAGGAACACCGGUGGCGAAGGCGGGUCUCUGGGCCGUAACUGACGCUGAGGAGCGAAAGCGUGGGGAGCAAACAGG